GAAUAUGCCAGUAAACUUGCACAAUGCAAGUGGUUGUGAAUCCCAUCUUGGGAAUGUCUUCUCAUCAGAUCAUCAAUUGGCACCAAUAUCAUCUCAGAGAAAGACAUUCCAAAAACACAUGAUAUAAAAUGCCCUUCCUUGAAAACUUUUCAACCGCUAGAGUAUCUAAAGAAAAAGACGGUAACUGUGCAGUAACUUUUUAGUCAAGGGAGGAGGUCUGGCUCAGCUCAGUGAGUAUCUUUUCCCUUGGUUGUAUCUUUAGUGCCAAGAUCUCUUCCCAAGCUGCUUCUCGGCGUGAUUGAAAAUGUAAUGCCAUGGAUAGUCAUUAUGAGUACUACUGUUUGCUUUACCGAUAGCUCUUGGUGGAACAGUCUUAACGCUUCUGGUGCUUCUGAGGGCAUCGAUUGGUGCAGUGGCCUUCUUCCUUGCAACGGAAGCAUGUAACCACCCGUGUUGAUGUGUUGUCUACUGUAACCAAAGGACUAGACUUGUGGACGGUCUAUGAUUGAUGUUUCAACGGACACUUCUUGCGCCUGUGCCCUUCCUCACCACACCUUACACAUCGGACAUUCGAUUUACGCUUCAUUUCUGAUGAUUUCUGGCCCUUCUGAGGGCAUUUCUUGGCUUUGUGGCCUUCUUCAUUGCAUAAGGAGCAUAUAAACACUCGUGUUGGACAGCCCUUGGCCCUGUGCCCUUCCUGACCACAGCUAACACAUCGAAGAACCCACUUCAUUUCUGAUGAAUGUUUAGCAGUACCAGGGUCCUGUUCUUCCAAUACUUUGGACAUGUUGGAGGAUGUAGCUAUAGUGCUUCUCUCUUCUAAUUUUUUUGACGCGUUGCCAGAUAUAGCUCCGAACUUCUGCGGACACAUACGGGCAUCGUGACCUUCUUCACGGUAUGUAAAGCACAUCCUUUUCUUCCCUUCUGUUUUUGUUUUACAUGUUCUAACCAUUGGACUAGACUUGUUGGGGGUCAGUACUUUUGCUUUUGAGGGGCAACACUGAUCGUACAAUAUCGGCUUCCUUGCUGAUGAUUGUUUAGCAGUACCUGUAUCAGGGUCCCGUUCUUCUAAUUCUUUGGACAGGUUGGCCGAUGUAGCUAUAGUGUUGCUCUCUUCAAAUUCUUCGGACUGGCCGGGGCUGUUCUGAGGACACUGAAAGGCAAAGUGACCUUCUUCACGGCAUGUAAAGCAAAUUGGACUAGACUUGUUGGCGGUCAGUACUCUUCCUUCUGAUUUUGCGUAACACUUGGCAGGUGUAGAUGAUGGGUUGCGUUGUUUUGAUAGUGCAAGCCGCAGAGCCGCUUGGAAGUUGUCUCUCUGGCCCUGAAAUGCCUCAGUCAAUACUGAAUUCAAGGGGCACUGAGCAAGAUAAUGAUCCUGACAUUCACAGAUAAAGCAUUUAACUUGGCUUAAACGGCACUCUCCAUCGUCAUGAUACUCGUCACAGCUUGAGCAACCGAGACCAUGUGUAUUGGUAGUAUGCCCUAUCUCUCCACAGCGGGUGCAAGCUCGAUUCUCCGACUUGUUCUGCUGGCAACACCACAUGCUACAGUGGCCAUUUUUGCUACAGACCGCGCAAAUGAUUUUGUGCUCUUGGUCCUUGAAAUGGCACUCAGAACUGUAAUGUCCUUCAUUGCCACAGACCAAACAAGUGAUUACACCGUUCUUUUUGUCCUGAAUGUACCUACUUUCCAGAUCUUGUUGGUAUGGGCUGGACGUCAGAAAGAAUCGAUCUCCUGAAACAUGGAAAUUAUUUUGCCUCCCUGGCGAGGGGGUGAGUGAAGCACCAUUCCAUGGAGGCCUCUGUUGCGGAUAGUGGCCUUGGUACCCAAAGGAAUGCCAUGCGAUGUGCUUCGCUGUAUGUUGGUGUUGGUUCUCCCACUUUCUUUUUGACCCGAUUUCCUGACUCUUGGCAGAUGAUCCCAUCUGGUUAAUUGUUUCUGACCAGGGAUAACAGACAAGAGGAGAAAACAUGAGACAAGGAAGAAUGUAGUUUGAGGUGUACGAUGAAACGAUUGAUAUUCUAGACGCUGCUGUGUAGAUGCAACAGAAUAUAGCCCAUACAGCUAAAGAGCAUCCGCUGAUGUGCAUGCAAACAAACAAAUUGUCUUUUUUGAAUCUCCGAAUGUACAUCGAGUUUUUAGCUGAAUUUUUUCGGAGUUGUAGACAUACCCCACAUGAAUGUUACUAUCAAACAAUUUCAGAUUUUUUUGAAAUGACUAGAUGGUGUUGAUCUCCCUCACGAUCUCACCUAAAUGUGAGAUCUCAUACAAGUCUCCCCCACUAUAUAGUAUAGGUGCAAAACAAAUGCCUUAACCAUAUAUUUGUGUUUGAGCAAAGGUGUUGAUAUCCUCCUACUGUCGAUGCGAAAAAUCUAACAUGUGAAGAGAGAGGCUGUAACAGCAUAAUUCUGUGAUGUACAAAGCUCUGUCCUUUGUAAAGAAAGAAACGACUAACAGGGCAAUUGCUUCAGUAGCAGUCAAUUUUGCUUGUUUUGUGCUGCCAGAAGCAACAGCAAAUUGCUUAAUGAGCAGCGUGAUAUACUAAGAUAUGAAAGAGGGGGGAUGAACAAAUCGGAUUCAGGACCUAAUCAUGGGGAAGAAUUCAUUCACCGUUUCAACCUACCGCAUGCACCAAAUCACCUAUCGAAUUAGUGGAUGCAGGCGGGAUAAUAAUCGAUCUAAAAUCUAAAAUCUAAAUGGAAGGGGAAUGGAUCAAGAAAAGACGGGGGAGACACACGAGGAGAUGGGAAGCGUAAGGCCUACUACCUGAGGGCAGGGGAGCAGGAGAAGGGAGCCCCGGCGGCGGCGGCGACGACGACGGUGGUGAACUGGUGGCGGCGGGGUCGACAGCCGGCGGCGGCUGCUCUGCUGUUUUGGUUGGGAAUUGAAGCAAGCAGGCCGUGGUGGNNNNNNNNNNNNNNNNNNNNNNNNNNNNNNNNNNNNNNNNNNNNNNNNNNNNNNNNNNNNNNNNNNNNNNNNNNNNNNNNNNNNNNNNNNNNNNNNNNNNNNNNNNNNNNNNNNNNNNNNNNNNNNNNNNNNNNNNNNNNNNNNNNNNNNNNNNNNNNNNNNNNNNNNNNNNNNNNNNNNNNNNNNNNNNNNNNNNNNNNNNNNNNNNNNNNNNNNNNNNNNNNNNNNNNNNNNNNNNNNNNNNNNNNNNNNNNNNNNNNNNNNNNNNNNNNNNNNNNNNNNNNNNNNNNNNNNNNNNNNNNNNNNNNNNNNNGAGACAAAGUUCCUUCUUUUUGUGGUGCUCGCUACGUUUUUUUUCUUUUUUGGUUCCUUCUAUUCUUUCUUCGAUUUGUUUUGUUUUUCACUGGUUUUCUUUGGGUUUUUUUAUUUUUUCUUCGCUUUACUUUGGUUUCUUUGUUUUCUCAUUGAUUUUAUUUUGGUUUAUUCUUUCUUUCGCUAUGCUUUGGUUUCUUUGUUUUCUCAAUACAAUAGGUUUUCUUUUUCUUUUUAGUCAGGUUUUAUCCAUUUUUGUUUCUUUUUCAGCGCAUGUCUACUUUUUCCCAGUACACAGUGUACAUUUUAUAGCACACAUGAUACAAUUUUAUGAUACACGCUACACAUUUUCCAAAUGGGUGACAAAUAACUUUUUAAACUCAUGUUUUGAACAGUUUUUAAAUCCAUGGAUUUUUUUUCAAAUACACAAAAAUAUUUCUUUUAAACUAAUCCCUCCGAUCCAUAUUAAUUGUCGCUGAUUUAGUAUAAAUUUGCACUAGAUCGGCGAUGAUUAAUAUGAAUUGGACGGCAUAAACAUUGCUUUACAUUGUAUAGUUUUUUUAAAAAAUCAUAGAAUUUUUUUGGAAACACGCGGAUAUUUAUUGAAAGUCAUGAUACGCUUUUUCGUGGAAAUGUUUUAACCAACAUGAAUUUUUCUUACAUAUUUUAUAUAUCAUUUUUUAAAUGCAUGAACAUUUUCAUGAUAUGCGGGAAUGUUUCCAUCAAAUGUUAUAUACAUUUUGAGUGGCACGAAACAAUUUUUUUUGCAUUAUCAAAAAUAAAAUAAGAUGGUGUACGCACUUUUUAAUAAUUUCGCAUGUAUUUCUUUUUUAAACACGGGAAGUUUUUUAUUGCCACAAAUAUUUUUUUUGAAUGUUGUCAACUUUUACUUUUUUUAGGGAUAUCAACAUUUGAAUACACUAUCCCUCUCGCCAGGGUUUGUUCCUUCUCUCGCUGACUUCGCUGGUGUAGAGCUUUCUCUCCUCCUAUUCAUCCAUCCUCACUGAUGAGGACAUCCCAACCAUGGACACCACACCACCAAUCAUCAACGGGUCAAUUACAAGAAGUCGCGCAAUGCAAAUAUAUGAUCAAGUGAACACUAACUUAAGUUUACCAUUUGACCUUGAAAACAUGGUUGUGCCAUCACCUCCUUUGUUGUUGGUUGAACUCAGGUGCAAUGUCGAAGAAAGCCAAACACAUUUCAAUUCGUGCAAAACAAUGUUUUAUGGUGAAGAAACAAAGUUAGGAGUUCAUGAAGAAAUGAGUUGUCUGCUGAAGAAACAUUGUUCCAACUCUGGCGAAACAAUGUUUUGCACGAGUUUGGAUAUCCCAACUUGCGAAAGGUUUUCAGAACUCGAGUUUGUUGUUGAAGGAAACAUUGUUCGACCCCAGUGAACAAUGUUUGGUCGGGAACUGCCAACCACCUCCGAUGAGAGAUUUCCAGAAGAUACCUCAUUAAGUCUCGAAACCAUUUAGUCCUACCAAAGUUGGUUCUCUUUUCACAUCUAAGCUGGUUCCCAAAGCUAGUUUUGUUUUGACACCUAUCAAAGGGGGUUGUCCUGAUUAUAAAUAGGCUAGCUCUUCCCUUCAUUGGGGACUUUUGCCAUUUCUAUCAAAGACCCAAGACAUAGACUCCUCCUGAGAUUGGAGAGCUCUUAUUAUCCUUAUUCUCGUGAUUCCUUGAGAAAUUGCUCCUAAUUCGUGCUCCACGACUAGAUCGUAUUGUGUGGGUUAGAGUUCGUGAUUUCCCUUGCGGAUUGCACCUAUCCCGUGCUCCACGACUUGAGCGUGGUUGUGUGGGGUAGUAUUGCGGGUUGUGGAUCAGCGAAUGUUCGGAUUGCAGGAUUCGGUGAGCAUCCUCCUCGUCGCGUCAUAAUCUCUUAUUUUCUGUUUUUCGGCUGCUUGCAACUUGUUAUCCGCAUCCAUUUAUCGAUCCUACGCCGUGAAGAUCGGACCUCCCCUUGUACACCCUCUUGUCCGAAGACGGUGUCGCAUCACUCACCAUGACUUUCGCUCGGGUUGAUCCAGGCGGUCUCUACAAUGAUGCUCGGCCUUGGUGAUACGUGGCAACGACGGGGUUCAAGGAGUUUCUCCGAGUAGAUUGAUUAGUGUUUUGUGAUUAGCAAUCCGUCAGAUUUUUCAUCACAGAAGAGGGGAAUGGAUCAUCUUGAGGGUAUGAUGGAAAGAUUGGGUCUCUUGAGGAAGACAUAAAAAAAUGUUGUGUUCGAGAGGGAGGACCACCAUCGAAAAAUACUUCACGGCGGGUUGAUUUAGCCAAGAUCCAAAAAAUAAGGAAUACUUCCAGUUUUGUUUUUUCAAAAAUACGCCUUCAGUCAGGGAGCUAGUGUAGGAGGUUCGGAUUCGACAUCUCGAACAUAAUAUAUAUUUGAUGUGUCUCAAACGUAUCCAUAAAAUUUUAUUGUCUCAUGCUAUUAUAAUAUCACUUUGAAUACUAUACAUAGCAAAAAGAAAAUCCCAAACUAACCUAUUAAUUCAGUGGCCAAAGCGAGUUGUUGUUUUCUACAUGUUUUCGACUUUUCAGAAAAUCCAUAUCUACGAAGGUCAAAUUAUACCGGGGAUUUAAUAUGAUUUUUUCCAAGUUAUGAAGAUUUCAGAAAAUUUCGAGAGGGGCCAGGUGUGGUCCCCACACGGCCAAGCCAAAAAGCUAGGGGCCCACAUGCGUGGGGCAGCCAUGUGGGGCCCCUCGGUCCGGAUAUUUGCUGGCGUUUUGAGGGUCCACAUUGGAGACGCCCUUAGCGGGGUUUCCCCUGAAAAAUUAAACAUUUAAAAAAGGAGAGGCCAAAGAUAUUUACACAUGAACUUGUUUUUUGUUGUUCCUGUGGAGCUCAACUCUUCAAGUAUCUCAUCAUGAAACUUUACACACAUGUAGAAUACAUCCUUAAGUACUUGUGUAUACUUUCAUAUAUUUUGUAAACUUUAAAAAAAUAUGAUUUGUAAUUAAGAAAAAAAAACAGAAAGGGGCUCCAAAACACCCCACUCUCAAAGAUGAGCCCUCAAGAGCGCACAGUUUCAGCCCUUAUACAGACAAGCCAUGAAACCUGGUGAGCAAAAUACGAACGCCGGAUAAUUCGAAUUACACACGGCGAGUUUCCACUUUCCAUCCUCUGUGCUGUCUACUGAUGCCCUGUUACAUACACAUAGAUAAUAAUCAUAAGUAGAACUCCGAAAUAUUCAAGCAAAUGAAGCUAGCUCCUUCUUUCUGAAGAUAAUAGAAGUGACACGAAAAUAACUUUAAAGUAAGCAGCAAGCAAAUCAGGGAUCGCCCAGGCGAUGGACUAGCGCUCAAAUGUUGGUUCUAUACCUAAUUUUACAUUACUGUACAAGGUAAUCUGCUAAGUGCUAAUCUGGCGCAUUAUAAGCAAAAGCUGCUAAGUGCAAACUAACAGACUGCAUCCUACAUUAGCAUUUUUCAGUUCAAAGUUCAAACUUCUUUGACUAUACAAGCAACAAAACUUGGGGCAUACUCAUGUAGAAGUUCAAUGUAGGGUUUCCACGUUUUCAGGCUAGAAUGAAGUUGUAUGAUUAUAUCAUUAUGUAGUCACUGAAAAUCAAUGGUCCUAAAGUGCGGUUCUACAAAUUAACCACAGUAUAACUUAUGGAUCAACAUUAUCUAUGUUCCAGCAAUCGACCCCCCAUGUAUUGAGCAAGGAUGAGUAACCAUUUUCUCUUCGGCAAAUCCUUAUUCUGAAUGCAUGUUAUGGAAUGGUUAAGUGGGGAGCUUAUUUUGGAUCUUUGAGAAGACAACAGCAGUAUGUAUUUCGAUACAAAUAACACUUAUACAGAGGAUUGGUUUGAAAGAAAGCAAUUGCAGUACUUUGAAGGUUAUUCGUUAGUGAACAUUCAGUCUGCCAACACUAGUCUUUUUAAGCCUUCGUUAGGGCCGGGUCCAAGGCCAGGUCCGGAUCGGCCCGUUCCCAUCCUGAUGCCUAAGUUAGUAAGUUUGUUAUGUGUGCUCCUGCCAAAAAACUUCACUAGGCCCUCUACCAGAAACAAAACAAAAAGGUUCUUACCCAGAUGUAUCCCGUACACUUGUUCAUCAAGUGCAUGAAGUAUGGAGAAGCAUUUACUACCAAGGAAUAUGCCAGUAAACUUGCACAAUGCAAGUGGUUGUGAAUCCCAUCUUGGGAAUGUCUUCUCAUCAGAUCAUCAAUUGGCACCAAUAUCAUCUCAGAGAAAGACAUUCCAAAAACACAUGAUAUAAAAUGCCCUUCCUUGAAAACUUUUCAACCGCUAGAGUAUCACAAGAAAAAGACAGUAACUGUGCAGUAACUUUUUGGUCAAGGGAGGAGGUCUGGCUCAGCUCAGUGAGUAUCUUUUCCCUUGGUUGUAUCUUUAGUGCCAAGAUCUCUUCCCAAGCUGCUUCUCGGCGUGAUUGAAAAUGUAAUGCCAUGUAUAGUCAUUAUGAGUACCACUGUUUGCUAUACCGAUAGCUCCUGGUGGAGCAGUCUUAAUGCUUCCGGUGCUUCUGAGGGCAUCGUUUGGCGCAGUGGCCUUCUUCCUUGCAACGGAAGCAUGUAACCACUCAUGUUGAUGUGUUGUCUACUGUAACCAAAGGACUAGACUUGUGCACGGUCUACGAUUGAUGUUUCAACGGACACUUCUUGCGCCUGUGCCCUUCCUCACCACACCUUACACAUCGGACAAUCGAUUUAGGCUUGUUGGCGGCCAGUACUUUUCCUUCUGAUUUUGCGGAACACUUGGGAGGUGUAGAUGAUGGGUCGCGUUGUUUUGAUAGUGCAAGCCGCAGAGCAGCUUGGAAGUUCUCUCUCUGACUCUGAAAUGCCUCAGUCAAUACUGAAUUCAAGGGGCACUUAGCAAGAUAAUGAUCCUGACACUCACAAAGAAAGCAUUUAACACCGCCCAAUCGGCACUCUCCAUCCUCAUGAUACUCGUCACAGCUUGAGCAACUGAGACCAUGUGUACUGGUACUGUGCCCUAUCUCUCCACAG
rnacentral:lncRNA from 1 species